GAUGAACGCUGGCGGCGUGCCUAAUACAUGCAAGUCGAGCGAACAGAUGAGGAGCUUGCUCCUCUGACGUUAGCGGCGGACGGGUGAGUAACACGUGGAUAACCUACCUAUAAGACUGGGAUAACUUCGGGAAACCGGAGCUAAUACCGGAUAAUAUAUUGAACCGCAUGGUUCAAUAGUGAAAGACGGUUUUGCUGUCACUUAUAGAUGGAUCCGCGCCGCAUUAGCUAGUUGGUAAGGUAACGGCUUACCAAGGCAACGAUGCGUAGCCGACCUGAGAGGGUGAUCGGCCACACUGGAACUGAGACACGGUCCAGACUCCUACGGGAGGCAGCAGUAGGGAAUCUUCCGCAAUGGGCGAAAGCCUGACGGAGCAACGCCGCGUGAGUGAUGAAGGUCUUCGGAUCGUAAAACUCUGUUAUUAGGGAAGAACAAAUGUGUAAGUAACUAUGCACGUCUUGACGGUACCAAAUCAGAAAGCCACGGCUAACUACGUG
rnacentral:rRNA from 1 species